rnacentral:rRNA from 1 species
GACGAACGCUGGCGGCGUGCUUAACACAUGCAAGUCGAACGGAAAGGCCCUGCUUUUGUGGGGUGCUCGAGUGGCGAACGGGUGAGUAACACGUGAGUAACCUGCCCUUGACUUUGGGAUAACUUCAGGAAACUGGGGCUAAUACCGGAUAGGAGCUCCUGCUGCAUGGUGGGGGUUGGAAAGUUUCGGCGGUUGGGGAUGGACUCGCGGCUUAUCAGCUUGUUGGUGGGGUAGUGGCUUACCAAGGCUUUGACGGGUAGCCGGCCUGAGAGGGUGACCGGCCACAUGGGGACUGAGAUACGGCCCAGACGCCUACGGGAGGCAGCAGUGGGGAAUAUUGCACAAUGGGGGGAAGCGUGAGGCAGCGAUGCCGCGUGCGGGAUGACGGCCAUCGGGUUGGAAACCGCUGUCGCCUGUGGCGAAGCGUGAGUGACGGUAAUGGGUAAAGAAGCACCGGCUAACUACGUG